rnacentral:rRNA from 1 species
AAGGUAGCGAAAUUCCUUGUCGGGUAAGUUCCGACCUGCACGAAUGGCGUAACGACUUCCCCACUGUCUCGACCAGGAGCUCGGCGAAAUUGCAGUACGAGUAAAGAUGCUCGUUAAGCGCAGAAGGACGAAAAGACCCCGGGACCUUUACUAUACCUUGGUAUUGGCGUUAGGCGCGGAUUGUGUAGCAUAGGCGGGAGGCUUCGAAGCGGUGGCGCCAGCCAUCGUGGAGCCGCAAGGUGAAAUACCGCUCUGUUCUCGUUUGACGUCUCACCUCGAACAGUCAUCCUGUUCAGGGACAGUGCCUGGCGGGUAGUUUAACUGGGGCGGUUGCCUCCCAAAGAGUAACGGAGGCGCUCAAAGGUCCGCUCAGCCCGGUUGGCAAUCGGGUGUCGAGUGUAAUCGCACAAGCGGGCUUGACUGCGAGGACGACGGUCCGAGCAGGGACGAAAGUCGGAGAUAGUGAUCCGGUGCCGGCGCACGGGCGCGGCAUCGCUCAACGGAUAAAAGGUACCCCGGGGAUAACAGGCUGAUCAUUCCCAAGAGUCCAUAUCGACGGGAUGGUUUGGCACCUCGAUGUCGGCUCGUCGCAUCCUGGGGCUGGAGCAGGUCCCAAGGGUUCGGCUGUUCGCCGAUUAAAGCGGCACGCGAGCUGGGUUCAGAACGUCGUGAGACAGUUUGGUCUCUAUCCUCUGCGCUCGUUGGAAUCCUGAGGAGGCCUGCCCAUAGUACGAGAGGACCUGGGUGGACGAACCUCUGGUAUGCCGGUUGUCGCGCCAGCGGCACGGCCGGUUGGCUACGUUCGGGAGGGAUAACCGCUGAAAGCAUCUAAGCGGGAAGCCUGCUCCAAGAUUAGGAUUCCAUGGAUCUUCGAGAUCCUGUAGCCCGCAUGUUGAACACGUGUUUGAUAGGCCGGAGGUGGAAGCCCCGUGAGGGGUGGAGCCGACCGGUACUAACGGGCGAUGGCGACACAAC